GAUGAAGAACGUAGCGAAAUGCGAUAAGUAAUGCGAAUUGCAGAAUUUCCGUGAGUCAUCGAAUCUUUGAACGCACAUUGCGCCCCUUGGUAUUCCGAGGGGCAUGCCUGUUCGAGCGUCAUUAUAACCCCUCAAGCUCAGCUUGGUGUUGGGGCCUGCUGCACUGGCAGCCCUUAAAAUCAGUGGCGGCGCCAUCUGGCUCUAAGCGUAGUAAUACUUCUCGCUAUGGAGUCCUGGUGGAUGCUUGCCAUCAACCCCCAAUUUUUCUAUGGUUGACCUCGGAUCAGGUAGGGAUACCCGCUGAACUUAAGCAUAUCAAUAAGCGGAGGA
rnacentral:misc_RNA from 1 species